GACCACUCAAGUAAACAUCCGGAGAACCCUUGAGCAUGCGUAGUAGGGAAGCUUCUGUCUUAGUGGCAAACAAUGAGAAUAUAGUGAGCAUACAACGGGCACUGAUGUUAUCACAGUCAAUAAACCCAAGGGCAUAUGCAACAGGAUCCCACAUUCUUUGGAUGCUCAUGCGUGUGCCUCCUUUAGACAAAAACCAAUCAGAGAAGCUGAUACCAUCUAAAUUUCUUAUGUCCUUCAUUGCUCCAUCUGGAUCAACAAGGGCCCUCACAACUGGACUUAAGGCAAGAGCCACAGCAUUUCUUGCUUUAUC
rnacentral:misc_RNA from 1 species